rnacentral:rRNA from 3 species
GGUUAAGCGACUAAGCGUACACGGUGGAUGCCCUGGCAGUCAGAGGCGAUGAAGGGCGUGCUAAUCUGCGAUAAGCGCCGGUAAGGUGAUAUGAACCGUUAUAACCGGCGAUACCCGAAUGGGGAAACCCAGUGUGACUCGUCACACUAUCAUUAACUGAAUCCAUAGGUUAAUGAGGCGAACCGGGGGAACUGAAACAUCUAAGUACCCCGAGGAAAAGAAAUCAACCGAGAUUCCCCCAGUAGCGGCGAGCGAACGGGGAGGAGCCCAGAGCCUGAAUCAGCAUGUGUGUUAGUGGAAGCGUCUGGAAAGGCGCGCGAUACAGGGUGACAGCC